rfam:Triticum aestivum genome assembly, contig: Triticum_aestivum_CS42_TGACv1_scaffold_050390_1BS
CUAAUACUUCCUCCGUCCCAAAAUUCUUUUCUUAGAUUUGUCUAGAUACAGAUGUAUCUAAUACUAAAACGUGACUUGAUACAUCCGUAUUUAGACAAAUCUAAGACAAGAAUUUUGGGAUGGAGCGAGUAUUAC